rnacentral:rRNA from 1 species
AGUGAACGCUGGCGGUAGGCCUAACACAUGCAAGUCGAACGGCAGCACAGUAAGAGCUUGCUCUUACGGGUGGCGAGUGGCGGACGGGUGAGGAAUACAUCGGAAUCUACUUUUUCGUGGGGGAUAACGUAGGGAAACUUACGCUAAUACCGCAUACGACCUACGGGUGAAAGCAGGGGAUCUUCGGACCUUGCGCGAUUGAAUGAGCCGAUGUCGGAUUAGCUAGUUGGCGGGGUAAAGGCCCACCAAGGCGACGAUCCGUAGCUGGUCUGAGAGGAUGAUCAGCCACCCUGGAACUGGGACACGGUCCAGGCUCCUACGGGAGGCAGCAGUGGGGAAUAUUGGACAAUGGGCGGAAGCCUGGUCCAGCCAUACCGCGUGGGUGAAGAAGGCCUUCGGGUUGUAAAGCCCUUUUGUUGGGAAAGAAAAGCAGCAGGUUAAUACCCCGCUGUUCUGACGGUACCCAAAGAAUAAGCACCGGCUAACUUCGUG